rnacentral:rRNA from 1 species
GACGUAGGGCGCGAGCGUUGUCCGGAUUUAUUGGGCGUAAAGAGCUCGUAGGCGGCUUGUCGCGUCGAAUGUGAAAUCUCAGGGCUCAACUCUGACAUUGCAUUCGAUACGGGCAGGCUAGAGUUCGGUAGGGGAGACUGGAAUUCCUGGUGUAGCGGUGAAAUGCGCAGAUAUCAGGAGGAACACCGGUGGCGAAGGCGGGUCUCUGGGCCGAUAUUGACGCUGAGGAGCGAAAGCGUGGGGAGCGAACAGG